rnacentral:rRNA from 1 species
GACGAACGCUGGCGGCGUGCUUAACACAUGCAAGUCGAACGGACAGGCCCUGCUUUUGUGUGUUUCUCGAUUGCCGAAGGGGUGAGUAACACGUGUGUAACCUGUCCUUGUCUUUGGGAUAUCUUUACGAAACUGGGGCUCUUACCGGAUAUGAUCUCUUGCUGCGCGUUGUUCAAUGGAGAGUUUCGGCGUUUGGGGAUGUUCUCGCUGCUUAUCCGCUGCAUGGUGUGGUAGUGGCUUACCAAGGCUGUGACGGGUAGGCGGCCUGAGAGGGUGAACGGCCACCAUGGGACUGAGGUACGGCGCAGAAGCCUACGGGAGGCAGCAGGGGGGAAUAUGACAGAGUGGGCGGAAGCCUGAUGCAGCAACGCCGCGUGCGGGAUGACGGCCUUCGAGUUGUAAACCGCUUUCGCAGGUGACGAAGAGUGAGUGACGGUAAUGGGUAAAGAAGCACCGGCUAACUACGUG